rnacentral:rRNA from 1 species
ACGAACGCUGGCGGCGUGCUUAACACCUGCCAGUCGCACGGAAAGGCCCUGCUUUUGUGGGGUGCUCGAGUGGCGAACGGGUGAGUAACACGUGAGUAACCUGCCCUUGACUUUGGGAUAACUUCAGGAAACUGGGGCUAAUACCGGAUAGGAGCUCCUGCUGCAUGGUGGGGGUUGGAAAGUUUCGGCGGUUGGGGAUGGACUCGCGGCUUAUCAGCUUGUUGGUGGGGUAGUGGCUUACCAAGGCUUUGACGGGUAGCCGGCCUGAGAGGGUGAUCGGCCACAUUGGGACUGAGAUACGGCCCAGACUCCUACGGGAGGCAGCAGUGGGGAAUAUUGCACAAUGGGCGGAAGCCUGAUGCAGCAACGCCGCGUGCGGGAUGACGGCCUUCGGGUUGUAAACCGCUUUCGCCUGUGACGAAGCGUGAGUGACGGUAAUGGGUAAAGAAGCACCGGCUAACUACGUG